rnacentral:rRNA from 1 species
CAGUAGCCACGGUAAUACGUAGGUGGCAAGCGUUGUCCGGAAUUAUUGGGCGUAAAGGGCUCGCAGGCGGUUUCUUAAGUCUGAUGUGAAAGCCCCCGGCUCAACCGGGGAGGGUCAUUGGAAACUGGGAAACUUGAGUGCAGAAGAGGAGAGUGGAAUUCCACGUGUAGCGGUGAAAUGCGUAGAGAUGUGGAGGAACACCAGUGGCGAAGGCGACUCUCUGGUCUGUAACUGACGCUGAGGAGCGAAAGCGUGGGGAGCGAACAGGAUUAGAGACCCGAGUAGUCCCUGUCUCUUAUAA